AGAGUUUGAUCCUGGCUCAGAACGAACGCUGGCGGCGUGGCUAACACAUGCAAGUCGAACGCGAACGGCUCUUCGGAGCUUAUUAGAGUGGCGAAAGGGCGAGGAAUACUUGGGUAACGUACCCUACACACCGGGAUAACUGUGGGAAACUACAGAUAAUACUGGAUGAGACCACGACUCGUAAGAGUUGUGCUCAAAGGGCGGGGAUCUCUUCGGAGACCCGUUGGUGUGGGAGCGGCCCAAGUCCUAUCAGGUUGUUGGUGAGGUAAAGGCUCACCAAGCCUACGACGGGUACCGGGACUGAGAGGUUGAUCCGGCGCAUUGGGACUGAGACACUGCCCAGACUCCUACGGGAGGCUGCAGUAACGAAUAUUGGACAAUGAGCGAAAGCUUGAUCCAGCGACGCCGCGUGUAGGAUGAAGUCCCUCGGGAUGUAAACUACUGUCAGGGACUACCAAGCAAGGACUGUUAAUACCGGUCUGCGUUGAGGAAUCCCAGAGGAAGCCACGGCUAACUUCGUGCCAGCAGCCGCGGUAAGACGAAGGUGGCGAGCGUUGUUCGGAAUUACUGGGCUUAAAGCGCAUGUAGGCGGAUCAUCAGGUGUCUUGUGAAAGCCCUCGGCUCAACCGAGGAACUGCUGGGCAAACCGAUGAUCUUGAGGCAGGUAGGGGCAACGGGAACUCUUGGUGGAGCGGUGGAAUGCGUAGAUAUCAAGAGGAACGCCAGAGGCGAAGGCGCGUUGCUGGGCCUGUCCUGACGCUGAGAUGCGAAAGCGUGGGUAGCGAACGGGAUUAGAUACCCCGAUAGUCCACGCCCUAAACGAUGUCAACUAGAUCGAGGGUUCUCUGACGGAUUCUUGGUCGAAAUGAAAACGGUAAGUUGACCGCCUGGGGAGUACGGUCGCAAGGCUAAAACUCAAAGGAAUUGACGGGGGCUCACACAAGCGGUGGAGCAUGUUGCUUAAUUCGAUCAACGCGAAGAACCUUAUCCUGGGCUUGACAUAUUUGGAUGACCAUCUGGAAACAGAGUAGUCUGCUCUUCGGAGUGAAACUUAUACAGGUGCUGCAUGGCUGUCGUCAGCUCGUGUCGUGAGAUGUUGGGUUAAGUCCCGUAACGAGCGAAACCCUUGUCGUUAGUUGCCAGCGCGUUAUGGCGGGGACUCUAGCGAGACUGCCGGUGUUAAACCGGAGGAAGGUGGGGAUGACGUCAAGUCCUCAUGGCCUUUAUGCCCAGGGCUGCAAACGUGCUACAAUGGCGUGUACAAACCGACGCAAGACCGCGAGGUGGAGCAAAUCGGAAAAAACACGCCCCAGUUCGGAUUGGAGUCUGCAACUCGACUCCAUGAAGUCGGAAUCGCUAGUAAUCGCGUAUCAGCGUGACGCGGUGAAUGAGUUCCUGAGCCUUGUACACACCGCCCGUCAAGUCAUGGAAGCUGGUAGCACCCGAAGUCGCCCUAUUUCAGGGGUGCCGAAGGUGAGAUCGGUAACUGGGACUAAGUCGUAACAAGGUA
rnacentral:rRNA from 1 species